rnacentral:lncRNA from 1 species
UUUUUUGCUAAAAAUGUAAAUAUUCAUUAAAAUGAAAAUGUUUAGGUUUACAAUCACGGAUUUUAAACCUAUAGAAUUGGUCCCAUGGCAAAAAAAGAUAAAAACAUGGAAGCAAAUUUCAAUCAGUCCAUCGACUCAACCUAUGCAGUGAAGCAAACGGUGUCAGAUGAAGUGAUACAUGAUUAUGAAGAUCCUCCAAAAUAAGCUACUGAUGACAAAAAUUGACGAUAGAGAUUGUAAAGACGACAAAGACGAAGACCCCUAGUAAUGGAAGCCUUUCACAGGAGGNNN